rnacentral:tRNA from 1 species
GUCCCUGUCGUCCAGGGGUUAGGAUGCUCCCCUAAUUGGGAGAGACCUGGGUUCGAGUCCCAGCAGGGUCA